rnacentral:lncRNA from 1 species
ACUCUCUCCAACAAAUAUGUUAUUUGUAAUAGCUAUCUUCUCUCAUCUAGGUGUUUGAAAAAUGUCUCUAACGUGUGUGGGCUGGAAUGCAUUUUGUUUUUUCUGCAGGUAUAUUCAUUUAACAAGGGGAGUCUCUGAGGAGCUAUCAAAAACUGCUUGCCAUCUUUCCAAAUCAUCUCUGUCUGCAGUGACCAUGUCUUAAUCCUGAAGGAAAACAAGGUGGAAAUUGAUUUUUACUUCUCUGCAGCUAAGUAUGUGGCAGUCUUGGCCACAUGGUGACUCAGCAGAGGAGCCUAUGUACUGGCUGUCCUGAUGCUCUUCCUGAUUCAACUGAUUCUCUACACUUGAUCUUAGCCAAAAGGCCGAGAAGCAAUGAUUCAACUGAUUCUCAAAAGGACACCGCUGCAGGAAUAAACCCACUUCUAAAUAUGGUACACUUGGAAAGUUGUCCAGCUCGCAAUGUCAGAGUCACAGACUUCAUGCACACUCAUCUCAAGUCAAUGUUAUCUAACACAUUUCCACUAAUUAUUGGAUGACACUAGCAAGAAACUCUGAUAUUUUUCACCUAACCUUUGCUAAUUUAAAUGUGGCCAGCCCACCCUCAUACUGCAUUGUGAUGGGGAUAUAAAAGCCAAUGAAAGAU